rnacentral:tRNA from 1 species
AAUUCAGUAGCUUAAAUAAAGCGUGGCUUUGAAGAAGCCAAAAUAAAGUUUCGAUUUUUUGAAUUA